rnacentral:lncRNA from 1 species
UAAGACCUGGGACACAAGAGACAAUCAGAAAAAAGGCAACAAAAUAUAGAUCUAGACCCCUAAGGCUAGGAGAGCACCGUUUUCAACAAAAACAGACGCCCCCUGCAUUUUCAUCUUCCACACAUCCCAUUUUCUCACAAGAAUGUUGAUACCCCAGACUACCCCUGAACAUUCUGUUUCUUCUUCAACCAAAAUCACGACCCCUCAUCCAAAGACACACACACAGCCAUAUACAGAGAACAAAGGGACUAAAAUGGAAUAGAGGCCGAAGUUCUAUCGGAUUUGGAGUUGAUCUGAACUCGAGGUGGAUUUCGAUUGAGUAUGUUGUUGGUUUCGAGUUUUUUUCUGGUACCGUUUGAGGUCUGUGCAAGGUUCGAACCCGAGUUCGCGAUCUUUGUUGGUUAUGUUUCUACUUUCUCGCUAGGCUUGUAUUCACAGAUUUUAUCUGUUGAUAUCAAAGAUAAUCCUAUUAAAACAGGUUUGUUUCUUUACUGAUCUAUUUGUGUUAAUCAUGUAUUGUGAAUCAAACAUUAGGAAAACCAUUAAGGACAAGUUAAAAAUCAGUAGUGACUUCUGGGACUUUGUUUAAUUCUUUGAGCUGAGCCUAUAUCGUGAUGAUUGUGUUUUUCCUUAAAGUUUGGUUCCAUAGUGAUGUCUCUGAUUGAAUGAAUUUAGCGCGUAUUAAAACGUUUAGCGUCGUACCAUUUCUGGAUGGUUGUUCUCUCCAUAUAGAUGUAGCUUCUGUAUUUUGCAGUUUUGACCCUUUUUUAACACGAAUCUUGAUUCGUAUUGAACUCCGGGAGCCAAAGAGUUGAACCUAAAAAAACUAGGGUUUUCUCAGAUCCGAAAUUCGGGGAGUUUGAGGGUGCUUUUUUGGGAAUUAAUAAUGGAUUUGGUAAGGAAAGGUGAAGGUGGUUGUAUGGUAAGGAUCUGAAGAUGUUUGGAGAGAUUAGGGUUCAGGGAACUCCGGUCUUCGAUCUGAAAUUCGAAGGGCUCGACUAUGAUUUGAAGGCGGCGGGUUGGAGAUUUAGGAUGAUGGGAAAAAGAGGGUUCCGAGGUGUUAUUUUGGGAUGGAUUGGGGUUGUUCAUGGCGUCACCGUCGGCGGAGGUGGUGGAGAGAAUUUGAGGGCAGCUUCUAGGGUUUCUGAGUUGAUGCGAAGAGAGAAUGAGGGGUGUUUGGACUGGGGGGCCUGGUUCCGACAUAUAUAUAUUUAAGGCAUCCAAUUCUGGUCCGUUGGAUCAAUGUGAUCCAACGGUGAUGAUCAGGUGGGGAAAACGUCGUCGUUUGGUUAAUCAAAUAAAACGGACCGGGUUAGGUGAAUUGGACCUAGGCGGAUGGGUGAGGUAAAUUGUUUGGGCUUUGGCAUUUUGGGUCCAUUACACAUAGCCCUAUUUUGAUUUCGUUUUUUUUUUUUUUUUACUUUUUUCCAAUUUCCAAUUUUUUGUUCUUUUCCCUUUUAAAUUAAUUUAACCUAAAUUAACCCUUAAAUUAACUUACAUAAUUAAGCUAAUUAUCUAAUUUAGUAUUUACAACAAAUUAAUUACUCCUAAUAAGAAAAUUACUAAUUUAAAUCUAAAAGGUUAAAAAUGCAAAAGUAAGCCGUGUUUUUUUAUUUUCAUUUUUAAUCAGACAACUAAUUUACUAAUUAACCUAGAAAUGUAAAAAUAAAUCCUAAAUGCACAUGCAUGGUAUUUUUGUAUUUUUCAUGAUUUUAAUGAGAUAAACAUGCACAAAAAAAUGCAAACAAUUAACAAAAAAAUCCCCCGAAAUCCUAUAAAAAUGUAAGAAAUGGAAAAAAAUUAUUUUUCUUGUAUUUUAUGGGAGCAAUUCACAUAGGGAAAAAAUCACGUGCUCACAGCUACCCCUCUUUGCUUGGAAACACGAAGAGUUUUCGUGCAAAGAUAAAGUGAGCGGAUACGAGCAAUUUUUGCCCAUUUGAAUACUCGUGGGAGCAUUUUUUGAAAUAUUUGACCGCACCCUGCUUCCGAGGUUGCCUGCAUAUCCUUGGUUAUAAAGGAAUCACGUCAGUGUAGUUCGAGAAGUUUUGGGUAGUUGGGACUACCAGGAAGCUAUGAUUUCACUGUUGCUUUUGCUGUUACUACUUGCUGAACUUCUUAUUACACCAAGAUAAAAUAAAAGAAACUAGACUAAACUAUGAUCUAUGAGUUACAAGAAUCCUAUCUAUAUCUUCAAACUUGAUCUUGCAGUUUUUGUUGCUCUGUUGACUUGUACUCUCCAGGUGAAAUUCCUUUGUUGCUGACUUGGAUUGUAUUCUGAGGUACUUUCCCUUUGUUAUCUAGGCGGGCGCCUGAUUGCUGAACUUGAAUCGUCUUCCUUUGAACAUUGCUGCUUUCCCUUUGUUCUCCAUGUGGGUG